rnacentral:rRNA from 1 species
GGUUGCGAUCAUACCAGCACUAAUGCACCGGAUCCCAUCAGAACUCCGCAGUUAAGCGUGCUUGGGCGAGAGUAGUACCAGGAUGGGUGACCCCCUGGGAAGUCCUCGUGUUGCAACCC